CCCACCAUUCGACCAAAACCCGAGCUCGCGCUUCCCUCUCUCAAAAUCACCCUUCAUCUCCCCGAGCUCACUAGCCAUCCAUCUCUCCCACUCUCCCUGUCAGCUUUCUCUCUCUUCCACUCAACAAAACUACCUCUCUCUUCUCACAGCGCCCAUCUCUCUCGCCCUUACCCGAAACCCUAUCCCUCUCCUCCUCUCUCUCUCUCUCUCUCUCCAUCUCCCCCCCUGCGUCCCAAUAGAACCGGAACCACAAAACCCUAGAAAACGAAUUCGCAGAGAUUUCUUUGUGGCUCAUCUCGGAGGUGUAGCCUGGCGUUGACUCGUUGGAGGAAGGCGAAGAAGAUGGUGGCUACGGUGAGCCCACUCCGGUGGUUGGAGAUCGUGACGGAGGAGAGAGAGUCCUCCAGAUCCACUUUCUCUCUCCUCCACGAAUAUGAGUUCUUGUUUCCUUUCUGUUCAGCACCCAACCUCCAGAUCGUGACGGAGGCAAGGUUUGAAUUGUUGAAAUGGGUUUCUACCCAUUUAAGUGGCUUUGUCCCUUGAAUUUAAGUUUCUUCUCUUCCUCUUCAGCACCCUUCCCACUGCCUCAUCUCCAAUCCUCAGUUGCAGGGCUUCAACUAUGGAGGCUCACUAAGACCCAGAUUCUCUUUCACCACUAAAGACACAGACAAAGGCAUUCGCAUUCAACCCAUUAAAGCCAAAGCAGCAACCACCGAGGCCUCUCCGUUUCCUCUGCUUCAGUCUCCCCGAGCUAAAAACUCUCCCUCUGAGGAAUGAUGGGUUUGCUUAUCAUGUGACCUGGGGUUCUACCCAUGUCUUGAGACCUUCUGUUUACAUCCUUGGAAAGUUGAGUUUCAUGUACGAUCAACAUGUUGAAUGUCUGCAUUUGACUGCCCUGCAGUUUUGUUGAAGGUUAAAACAUUUCUUUGUUGGACUAUGAUGUUCGUGAACAUUGCUGAUUGAAGAGAUGCUGUACUAGCUAGCUGUUGGUGCUAUUUUAACUACGGAAAUGGUAGAUGUCAAUGUGUCAUGUUGAUGCUGAAUGAAGUCGGGUCUUACCUGUUUUGCUUUGAUGAAACUCUGGUUGGUGAUGUUUGGGAGGAGUGAACAUUGCUGGUGGUGCUAUUUUGACCACAGAUAUGGUAGAUGUCAAUUCAUGUUCAUGCUGAUUGCAGUCUGGUCUUAGCUGUUUUGCUUUGAUGAAACUCUUUCGUUUGAUCCUGCAAAGGAACUCUCGAUGCUGUGGUUGCCUAAACUUGGUCGGAAUUCAGGUGCCAUUGCAUGUAGCUGAUGCAGUUUAUACGAAAAAUGUCAUUUUUGUUUUCUUUUUGGAAAAGAGGGGUGGGUUUUAGGGGAGUGGGCCUAACUCUGGCUGGCUGCCCCUGCAAUUGUAGGUUUGGUCUACAAUUGCAAGUCAUGCCAUGAAUGGGGCAGGAUUAUAUACAUAGAAAAAUACUGCACAAUUUUUCAAAUGAAUGCUGCAAAAUUAAGUGUUAUGCUGUGUGAAAGUUAUUCUAAUACCGCAAGGUAACCAUGUAUAAUAAUUUAUUGAAUAUAUAGCUGUACAUUUCCUUAAUCCAGUUCUCUUCUCUUUAUUGG